GGUAAGAACUAUGAGAGACGUCGGCACAAAGGGGUUACGGGACGAAGGGUCCAAGUAAGGCAGAAAAGAAAAUGUUGCCAGUUGAUGGGGAAGAAAGGAAGUCAGAGGGCUUAGACACUGGGGGACAGAACAUCUCAGGCGCAAUCUCCUCUCUCGUAGUCAACAACAUCUGUCAAAGGGGAGGGCCUGCAUCGUCUGCUAACCUGAAGGAUCUGGAGGAUGAGAGGCUGUGGGAGCAGAAGACGCAGGAAGAGGAGAGGCUGCAGGAGCUGGGCAUAAGGCCGAGCUCUAGGGGGAGCAGGUGAAGGCGCGCGUGCAAACCCUGGAGGCCAUGCAGACCGAGCUCACCACCGUCAGCUGUGCACUCUCCUAGAACCACGAGCUGGAGGAGCAGCUGGCCGAGCUGCAGAGCGGCUUCAAGGAGCUGGUGCUCAGCCCCACCUGGGGAGCCUCCCCUUCUCCCUAGCCCUCUGGGUCUUUGUUUCCCCACCUGUGAAAUGGGCGUUGUAGCCCUCACGUGAAAUGGAGAACAUGGAGAUAGCCAGUCUGUUGCAGUCGGAGCUGCAUGGCAAGAAGGAGCUGCAGGAGAAGCUGGGCUGAAGGAGACGGUAACCCUGCCCCAUCCAAGAAGGGCUAGG